CAGAUGGCCAGGGCUCAGAGUGGCCUGCAGUCAGCAGCUCUCAGGGACCUGGAGUCAUGAAGAGAUGAGUCACCAUGUAGGAGAAGGGAGGAGGGCUGGGAAGCAGAGGCUUCCCCAGGCAGCCCUCCUUGGGGGACAGCAGCCCUGCCACGCGGGGAAGGACCCAGAGCCCAACGACCCCUGGCCCCAGAGCUGCGAGGUGCCCGUGUCUGCUGUCUGGAGCUCGGGUCGAGGCUCAUCUGCUCCCAGCAGCACAAGUGCACCCACCCAGGGCCAGCGCCCACUGUGGAAAGAGCCUUGCGAGCAGUCCUGCCCUGAAGGGGUUCUCAGUCUGGAAGAUUCUAGUUUGAAAUGAACUGGGGAAGGCCCAGAGGGUAGUGAGAUUUCUGUGCUGUUGAACAUGUCAGUCCUCAACAGAUGCCUCGGAGCUGGCUUCUCCCAAACCUGCGCCCUGGGCAUGCCACGUGGGUGCCACAAUGUUUCAGAAGGAGCCUCGUGAACACACGUCCCUCCAGUCCCAACCACUUCCCCCACGUCACAGGCUACUCACGGGCGGGCCGGGGAGUCCUGGGUGGCCUGCCUCACCCUUCGGGCCAGUGGGACCCUGGAGAGAAAGACAAAAAAAACCCUUGGUCACAGAAGUGUGACAAGAGCCGACAUGUCCCCUAGGGCUCCAGAAGUGUCUGGAAACCAGUGUGGAGGUGGGGGUGGGGACAAGGAUGGCAGGGCUCUGCUCUCCUGAACACCUGAGGAGGGAACCUGGGGCCAGUGUCCUCCAAGAAGGAGGAGCAGCCCAGACACCUUGGGGCCGGCUGUGCCGGGCAGCUCAAGAAGUCAGAAGGGGACACUGAGAAGAAACUCAAAUGGCUGGUGAGCCCUUCAUCAGAAUCAGGGAAAGUCAAGUCAAAAUCACACGCCGUCUCAGCCCACCAGGGAGAAGGCCACUAUCACAAGAUAACACAGCCGCCCCUGGAGAGGAGGCAGAGAAAGGGAGCCCUGGCCUCGGCUGCUGGGAGUGUGACCAGCACAGCCUUCGUGGAGAACAGAGGAGGCUCCCUAGAGAGUGGACAGCAGAUUGACCCUGCGACCCAGCCACCCUGCUCUGCACACACAGGCCCCGCGCCCACGGCGGCUGCUCAGUGCUGCUCAGAGCAGAGCCGACCUGGGUGCCCAUCGAUGGGCCAGAGGGUAAAGAGCACAGGCACGUGUGCUCAGGGGCAUGAUCGGCCGCGAGGGCUCCGUGGAGCUGGGGACACUGCAAUAUGGGAGACUGUCAGGUGCAGAAGGCCAAUGCCCCGUGGCCGCCCUCGUAUGUGUGAUGCUAGUGGAGUCAACGUGGACAGAGCAGCGACUACUAAAGGCUGGGGACGUGGGCCAGGACCUCAGAGCCCAGCACAGCGAGGCAGAGGAGACCUGCCGGUGCCCCACAGCACGGGACCCGUCCACGGCACCUACACCUCCUUAGUGAAAACGGACAGGUUUGAGCAGGAAGCUCUGUGCCAUGUGCUGGAGCAUCGCUCUGACCCGACCAGGCAGUGACCACAUGCCAUCAAAGGGUUAACAAACGCUCAGGUGGACAGAAACGCUAACUGCUGUGAGUUUAUCAUCACACCCUGAACACCUGGAUUCGAAUGGUCACCAUUCACUCCAUACGUUUGUACGAUUAGAAUAAUAAUUAAUUUUGAAAAC